UCCGUAGGCGGUGCGGCAAGUCGGAAGUGAAGUCUCAGGGCUUAACCCUGAGGCUGCUUCCGAAACUGCCGUGCUCGAGUGCGAGAGAGGCGAGUGGAAUUGCAGGUGUAGCGGUGAAAUGCGUAGAUAUCUGCAGGAACAUCCGAGGCGAAAGCGGCUCGCUGGAUCGCAACUGACGCUGAGGGACGAAAGCUAGGGGAGCAAACAGGAUUAGAUACCCUGGUAGUCCUAGCCCUAAACGAUCAGGACUGGGCGUGGGCCUCGUACGGGGCUCGUGCCGCAGCUAACGCGUUAAGUCCUGCGCCUGGGGAGUACGGUCGCAAGGCUGAA
rnacentral:rRNA from 1 species